rnacentral:rRNA from 1 species
GAUGAACGCUAGCGAUAGGCCUAACACAUGCAAGUCGAGGGGCAUCACAUGAAGUAGCAAUACGGAUGGUGGCGACCGGCGCACGGGUGAGUAACACGUAUGCAACCUGCCUUCAACAAGGGGAUAACCCGUUGAAAGACGGACUAAUACCCUAUAACACAGGGGUCCCGCAUGGGAAUAUUUGUUAAAGGACAACCGGUUGAAGAUGGGCAUGCGUUCCAUUAGCUAGUUGGCGGGGUAACGGCCCACCAAGGCAACGAUGGAUAGGGGAACUGAGAGGUUUAUCCCCCACACUGGUACUGAGACACGGACCAGACUCCUACGGGAGGCAGCAGUGAGGAAUAUUGGUCAAUGGACGCAAGUCUGAACCAGCCACGUCGCGUGAAGGAAGACGGCCCUACGGGUUGUAAACUUCUUUUAUACGGGAAUAAAGUGCCCCACGCGUGGGGUUUUGCAUGUACCGUAUGAAUAAGGAUCGGCUAACUCCGUGCCAGCAGCCGCGUAAUUCACACUACA